UGGGGAAUAUUGGACAAUGGGCGCAAGCCUGAUCCAGCAAUGCCGCGUGUGUGAAGAAGGCCUGCGGGUUGUAAAGCACUUUUAUCGGGAAAGAAAAGCCUGGGGUUAAUAACCCUGAGCCUUGACGGUACCCGUUGAAUAAGCACCGGCUAACUCCGUGCCAGCAGCCGCGGUAAUACGGAGGGUGCAAGCGUUGUUCGGAUUUACUGGGCGUAAAGGGCGUGUAGGCGGAUGCGUAAGCUGGAGGUGAAAGCCCCCGAGCUUAACUUGGGAACUGCUUCCAGAACUGCGCAUCUUGAGAGAGUCAGAGGCAGGUGGAAUUCCUGGUGUAGAGGUGAAAUUCGUAGAGAUCAGGAGGAACACCGGUGGCGAAGGCGGCCUGCUGGGACUUUUCUGACGCUGAGGCGCGAAAGCGUGGGGAGCAAACAGGAUUAGAUACCCUGGUAGUCCACGCCGUAAACGAUGGAUGCUAGAUGAUGCAGGUAUUGACCCCCGCAAUUGUCGCAAGCUAACGCGAUAAGCAUCCCGCCUGGGGAAGUACGGCCGCAAGGCUAAA
rnacentral:rRNA from 1 species